UCCCACUCUUAAACCUCGGGCAGGGUAUAGCGGUAAAAAAAGGCUACGGCGGAGGAGGGAGGGGGCGGAAAGAAGUGAAUGGAGAAAUGGUUGGGAGCGGAGCGCCUGAUUUCUUCUACAAAGAGGCUCAACGCCUCGGCUACGUUGCUCGCUCGGCGUUCAAAUUGGCUCAGAUACAGAGACAGCAUAAAUUAAUCAAACCCGGUUCUUCCGUUCUCGACUUGGGCUGCGCUCCCGGUUCAUGGCUUCAGGUCGCUUGUCAGAGCUUGGGCCCAUUCCACAACGGUGGCUCCGUUCUCGGCAUCGACCAUAAGAAAGUUAAAGUCCCUCCUCUUCAUUGUGAUUCCAGGGUUCAAACUAUUUCAGCUGAUGUCAUGACCCUCCCUAAACACCAACUCAGAGACCUUUCUCCUAAGCAAAAAGGAUUUUCUGUAAUACUCUCGGACAUGUGUCCAUUGGUUUCUGGAAUCACGACUAAAGAUGCUGCUUUGUCAUUUGAGCUAGGGAUGCGAGCGAUAGAUUUGGCUGUUGGCAGGGUUGCUUCUGUUUGUAAUUCUGAUGCUGAUAAUCGGGACGAGGAGCCAUGUGAUGAUCUGUCAAGUUCAGAUGACAGAGGAGUGUUGCGAGUUGGAGGCCAUCUUGUUAUCAAGCUUUUGGAAAGUGAAGACGCCAAAGAAAUAAACCAAAUUUGUAAACCAUUGUUUGCGAAGUCGUCGUGGUUGAGACCUAAAGCCACUAGACCUUCAUCGAGAGAGAUCUAUUUGAUAUGUCAAGGUUUAAAGCCGGAAAUCAAGAUAUAGGUUGUUUCAUGUGGUUUGUCCUGAUGAAUGUUUUGUGUGAGCAGAAUACAAAUUCAUGAACACUGUUUUCUCUGUUUCUAAGCUCAAGUGAGCUUCAAUUCAAGCUCAUUUUUGGAUUUUACAGGAACUUCUUAUUCAGAUUAUGGGUACACAAGUGAAGUGAUGAUUUCACCAUCGAUGGAGAUUUUCUAGAACUUGAUCUAUUUUAUUUUACGAGAUCGAGCUCAACUGUCUUGAAGUUCUAGAGAAAAAAAAAACAGAUUUUAACUACAUAAUAGUAGUUUUUACUUAUUUAUUAUGUUAUUUUUAAUAUUUAUUUGAAAAAAAUAGUAUUUAAGAUCUUUGAUGACAUGAUUUUAUUGAGGUGAGUAUAAUGAAGAAGGUGAUGAGUAAAGAUAAGAUAUGGAUGAAGAUAAUGAUGAUUAAUUGUUAAAAUUGUUUUAUCAAAAUUAGUUGGUUGUAUAAUUGUUUA